GUUUUUGUUAUUUAUUGAUGGACCUAACUUUUUACCUAGGAAUGAUCAACCAGAUAAGCAGAUUGGAUGGAGUUUGUGGAGCUGCGCAAGGUCUUACUUGCCCAUUACACUGAGACUUUGCCCAACGUUUUGGGGUGAAAAGUCAGCUGGGACGGCAAGUGGACGAUAAGCUUAACAAGGAGCUCAAGGAAAAGGACCAAGAAUAUAAUCUAAAUGACAGUCUACCACCAGCUUUGCAACGACAACAGUAGGAGAGGAACAUUUGCUUAAUCUUUGAGACUCUACUCAGCAAGUCCACAGCUACUUCAAGCGAUUGCUCCUGUAUGCAUCACGUGCAGAAGACCCAAACCCAAUUAUAUGUAUGAGGAGCAUUCCGAGUGACAGUUACCACCGUUUAAAAAUCAAACAUCAGAGCUCGCCCAGAGACUGGCAACGCAAGGAUUUAACCUUCGUGUAGAGGAGUUGGCCUGUCAGUAGGAUUACGAAAAAGUGGACAUAUUUCAAAUCCUGCUUAAUAAACGACGCAAACCAAAAGAAAGUCGAUCCAAUGGCUUGAAGAGUGAAGCAGAAAAGAAAAUUCCAAGCCCCACGUCCAGCUGGCAGAGGUUAGAGCCGGAGAAUGCUCAAAUAGCAAAUACAUUGGGGAGGCAUGAUGGACAGGCCUGUGAACGUAAACGUCAAGGAGGGGUAAAGGCAGAAGCUUUCUAAAAACAAACAUCUGCAAGAUGACAGCCCCGAAAAUUCCUCAGCUGUUGAACGUGAAAAAUUUCGUGUGGUUUUGGAUGAUAUGCGAAAAGAUUAUGGCCAGCCAUCGGCGGAGAUAUUGGCGGAUAUAUUAAUCCGUGGCGCCGGUAACCGACGAUGAGCUAAACACACACAAUCUACGACGGAUUACGACGACGAGCAACAAUCAAAUUUUGACGGCGAAAGCGAAUUUCUUCUUGGAACUAUGUAGUUCGAUUCUGAAAUAUUUUUGAACAUUGUUAAAAAGAAAAAUAUGACAAAUUUCGAACAAAAUUGUGAUAUUUUAUUAAUUAUA